AAGGGUAUAGCUCAGUGGUAGAGUACAUACAUGCCUAGCAUGCACGAGGUCCUGGGUUCAGUCCCCAGUACCUCCA
rfam:Camelus ferus unplaced genomic scaffold scaffold2317, whole genome shotgun sequence.